GAGCGCCCCGCAAGGGGAGCGGCAGACGGGAGAGUAACACGUGGGAACGUACCCUUCAGUUCGGAACAACCCAGGGAAACUUGGGCUAAUACCGGAUACGUCCGUAAGGAGAAAGAUUUAUCGCUGAAGGAGCGGCCCGCGUCUGAUUAGCUUGUUGGUGAGGUAACGGCUCACCAAGGCUACGAUCAGUAGCUGGUCUGAGAGGAUGAUCAGCCUCACUGGGACUGAGACACGGCCCAGACUCCUACGGGAGGCAGCAGUGGGGAAUAUUGGACAAUGGGCGCAAGCCUGAUCCAGCCAUGCCGCGUGGAUGAUGAAGGCCUUAGGGUUGUAAAAUCCUUUCGACGGGGAAGAUAAUGACGGUACCCGUAGAAGAAGCCCCGGCUAACUUUGUGCCAGCAGCCGCGGUAAUACGAAGGGGGCUAGCGUUGCUCGGAAUCACUGGGCGUAAAGCGCACGUAGGCGGCUUUUUAAGUCAGAGGUGAAAUCCUGGAGCUCAACUCCAGAACUGCCUUUGAUACUGAGAAGCUUGAGUCCGGGAGAGGUGAGUGGAACUGCGAGUGUAGAGGUGAAAUUCGUAGAUAUUCGCAAGAACACCAGUGGCAAAGGCGGCUCACUGGCCCGGUACUGACGCUGAGGUGCGAAAGCGUGGGGA
rnacentral:rRNA from 1 species